rnacentral:lncRNA from 10 species
GCGGGCCGCCGGGCCGGGGUCGCCGCCCGGGCUCGGUCAGUCGGUACCUUCAUGAAGGUCUCUACCGCGCCUUUGGCCGUGUCCAGCCUCGUCCCAAAUGCCGUGGGAGGGAAGGCACUCUCUGUCAAGCUGCUGUCACCUUACCUGAAGUAAGGAGUCCACGCCUGCAUGUCCGAGGAAAACAGUUUUCUCAAACACAUUAGUUGAAAAACUGAAGACGCUGCCUAAAAUACAAGCUGAGUUAGAGACAGCCCUUGUAAGACUAGGUCUUGAGCCUACUUGCCUUCAGAUUGGAACUUUACCAUCUGCUCUCCUGGUUCUCAGGCCUUCAGGGGAGUCUAGAACUAUGCCACUGACUCUCCUGGUCUCCAGUUUUUCAACUUCAAAUCUUGGGAUUUAGUCUCGAUGAUCAUAAAAAGAAAUGGAAACUAAGUAACAUGAAUUAACAUAGUCCAGGGUCACAAAGCAACAUGGAACAAGAACCUGGAUCUGAAUUCAGAGGCAGAAUGCUGGGCCUGAGAAUCAGGAGAGUCAAUGGUAUUAGUGCUUGUCCGGAAGCCAUCAUGCUUCAAAACCAAGAAGAGCUGAUUUUCCAGUUGGAGUCUAAAGGAAAGGCCUUGUGAGGACAUAACCAGGAAGAGAGUCCUCACCAGAACCUGACCAUACCUGCACCCUGAUCUCAAGCUUCCAGCUUCCAGAACCAUGAGAAAUCAAUGUUUGUUGUUUUAGCCACCCAGUCUACAGAAAUUUGUUAUAGCCACCCUAGCUGACUACCACAUUGGACAUCACAGC